rnacentral:rRNA from 1 species
CCACCAGGAGUGGAGCCUGCGGCUUAAUUUGACUCAACACGGGAAAUCUCACCAGGCCCGGACACCGGAAGGAUUGACAGAUUAACAGCUCUUUCUUGAUUCGGUGGGUGGUGGUGCAUGGCCGUUCUUAGUUGGUGGAGCGAUUUGUCUGGUUAAUUCCGGUAACGAACGAGACUCUAGCCUGCUAAAUAGGCGUCGUCAUUUAGGUGUGCGUGGCCGCAACUCACUGGCGACGUAUUAAAAUUCUUCUUAGAGGGACCGGCGGCUUCGAGCCGCACGAGAUUGAGCAAUAACAGGUCUGUGAUGCCCUUAGAUGUCCUGGGCCGCACGCGCGCUACACUGAAGGAAUCAGCAUGUUCUCCCUGGCCUAGAGGCCCGGGCAACCCGUUGAAACUCCUUCGUGCUGG